rnacentral:lncRNA from 1 species
UUAACAUCAAUACAACAACUCUAGUCUAACUAUAGAUUUGACCAAUACAUCCGCAAAAUUUAUCAUGACACGAGUUUACAAAAAUAUGGAAGAAUUGAAAAAAUUAUUCUUCUUUCCCGUAAUGCCACACAAUUGCCUCAUUUGGGAGGGAAAAAUUCUCAAUGUUGUUCAUUUUUAUCAAAAUAAACAAAAAAAAAAAAAAACAGGGAAUCAUAUAAUACUAAUAAUAAAAAAACAGAUAGAAUUUUAAUUAAUGAAAGCGAUACAAAAAUAAAAACAAAAGUGUAUACUUUGGGGCAGCAUUUGCCGUUCCGACGCUUGAAGGUCUGCCACAGAAAAAAAAAAUAUAAUAAAUCAAAUUUAUAUUAAAUAAAAACAAUUCUUCUUUUUUCAAUAAUAAUAUUUUUGGAAAUCAGAAAGAUAAAACAUUUUCGCAAACCAUUCUGUUUUCUUCAAGGGAUGAUCUCCCCUUUCCAAUUUUUGACAACCACGCCUAAUCCAAUCAUCAUUUCUUCUGAAGUUGACAUUGCUGCAUGAGUAAAAAAGAAUGUUAAAAUUGAAUUAUUCAUUUGGAAGAAUAUCAUGACGCAAUUAAACAAAAACUGAAUAUUUUAUCUUUCGUACUCUCUCAAUAAUUUUGACUGCAUACUUUUUCUGAAAAAAAAAAAAAAAAAACUCAUAUCUAGAUUCAGUCACAAAGCCAAAUCUCUCUAAUCAUACGUCUAUAUUAAGAAACACAAAUAAGAGAUUCCAAGAACUUGUUAACACCCUUUUGGAAUAAUUGAUUCUGGAUUUUCAUACUUGGAUAAUGGCUUUUGCUUGGAUAUCUCUCCAAUCACUCAAACCCUUUCACACAAUUGAUUGAAUCUCACUUGCUUGAUUUAUAUUACAUCGAGAUUUUGAGCCUGGCAUGGUUAAGGAGUUUUAAAAGUGUAAAAAAUUGAGUGAUUGAAAAAUGGGAGAAACCUGUAGUGUAACUGUGGUACUGUGCCAAAGUUGCAUUCAGUCGUUGGAUGUCAGUGGAUCCUACUAAUCUAAGUGCAUCCAACGGCUGGAUACAACUGUGGCAUGGUACCACAGUUGCACCGUAGCCUGAUCCUGAAAAAUAAUAGAGCUGAAAAUGAGAGAAAAUUUAGAAUUAUGGGAAUUUUAUUGGGGAAGAAAAAGUAUUGUAAACUCAAUGAUGGGGUGAUUAAGAAAUAGGCCGAAUAAAAAAUAAAAAGAAUUUAAAUAUCAUCACUCAAAUUUAAUUGUAUUUUUAUUAAAAACAUUAACCGGUGAUUUCUAUUUAAAGGAAUAAUAUUUAAGUCCCUCAAAUUUUUUAUUUUUAACUGCUUGUAUCUUUUUCUAAAACUUAUUAUACUCAUAAGAUAUCAAUAUUUAAUGUUCAAAAUGACUUUUUCUAAAUAUUAAAACAAUUAUUAUUAUUAUUAUUAUUAUUUGUUGUAAUAUAGUGGUAGGGAUAAAAAUCUAAGGGUGACAAAAAAAUUGGUAUUUAAUAGAAUUUUCGUAAUGACAAAAAGUAAAUGGACCCAAGUGAUAAAACAAUAUAAUUGAUGGACAAAAGAUCAUUUUUCAUUUGUGUUGCCGACACCGUAGUUUGGUUUACGCUUCCCGACCCAUGAUAUUCAAGUCCCGGUACCUUUGUCAUCCCAUAAAAUUGUCCAUAAUUAAAAUAAGGCAUGUUUUAUAUUCUGUGGCUAAUAUUUAGAGCAAAUGAAUUUUCCAAGUCCUCCCAUAAAGAUAUCAUAUCCCAACAUAAUCUUCAACCAUUUUAAUGGUUAAAAUUACAAGAGAAGUCGUAUCUAUGUUUUAUCACAAUUGUUUGGCAACCACCAAAUUGGCCGUAUAAAGCCAUUGAUGAAUCAGAAAAAGAUACCAUUGUCGAAAACUUGGCCAUUGUGGUCCCUGAUGUAUAAAACUGACCAUAGGAUUAGCAAAGGUUUGUCAGCUAGCGGAACUUACGUGUACGUCAUGCACACUUAAAUGUUAUCUAUAUACUGUGUAGGCAUUGCUCUGAACUAACCUCUUCAUUCAGAGUCCCCGAGUCAGCUGCAAGGGAAUGGCCAUGAAUAAUCUUUCAGCAGAAUCAACUGUUGCUGCAGCAAUUUCAGCCUUAGUGAUAUUCCUCUCAAUUUUCCUCUUGAUUUCAAGAAAUGGGCAAAAAAGGACACUCAAGAAUAAGCAAGCUCAACAAGCACCGGUAGCAGAGGGAGCAUGGCCUUUGAUAGGCCACCUACAUCUCUUACGAGGGCCAGAGCCAGCUCACAGAGUUUUGGGCAACCUGGCUGACAAAUAUGGAACAAUAUUCACUAUGAAGUUGGGGGUGAAACAUGCUUUAGUGGUGAGCAACUGGGAAAUUGCCAAGGAGUGUUUUACCACAAAUGACAAAGCUUUUGCAGGUCGCCCCAAAACAAUGGCCGUAGAGCUUAUGGGGUACAACUUUUUGGUCAUAGGCUUCGCACCAUAUGGCAACUACUGGCGUCAGUCACGUAAGAUAGUGACAAUUGAGCUUCUGUCAAAUCGUCGCCUUGAGAAGCUCAAACACGUACGUGAAUCUGAAGUGAAGGCUUCAAUCCAGAGGUUAUACAAGAAUUGCAUAAGUAGCAGCAGUUCACGUAAAGUAGUUUCGGUGGAGAUGAUCCAUUGGCUCGAGGGCACAGCACUUGACAUUAUUUUGAGAAUAAUUGCCGGAAAACGUCACACUUCACAAUCAGAAGAGGCUAAUGAUUGGCAACAGCAAAUAACAAAGAUCGCUGCCUUGUCUGGUCAGUUCGUGGUGUCCGAUGCGUUGCCCUUUCUGAGACGGUUAGAUAUCGGUGGAUAUGAGAGAUUAAUGAGCAAGACAGCUAAAUAUUUUGACAUCAUUUUGCAAGAAUGGGUGGAUGAGCACAAGAUGAAAAGAGUUUCUGGUGAAGUUAAGGGCGACGAGGAUUUCAUAUAUGUGUUGUUGUCCCUACUUGAUGAUAAUGCAGAGCAGCUUCCCGAUUGCGAAGCUGACACUGUCAUUAAAGCAAUCUGCUUGGUAUAAUAUAUCCUCAUGAAAUGCUUGUGGUGUGUUUGUGUUUGUAUUGUAAUAUGAAUGUCACAGAUUUCUUACUGCUUUUAAUUUGCAGACUCUAAUCGUAGCGGCUGCAGAGACCACAGUAGUUACAUUGACAUGGGCUAUUGCUUUACUUCUCAACAAUCCCGAGGUUCUGAAGAAGGCACGAGAUGAAAUAGACAUUUAGGUUGGCACUGAAAGGCCAGUGAAUGAAUUAGACACGAGAAAUUUGGUUUACUUGCAGGCCAUUAUCAAGGAAACAAUGCGUUUAUACCCUGCUGGACCACUUUUACUACCUCACGAGUCUAUAGAAGAAUGCGUCGUCAAUGGUUACUGUGAGAUGAAUGAAUCAAGUUUGGUUCCAGAAACGACCACGUUUUGGAGCUGUAAAGCUUCAUUAAACUCACGUGCUUCUCAGCUGGUUAGCAACAGAAAACGAAUUGAUCAAAACGACAGGACUUGAGCGCGUUUUGCAUAUCAGUUUAAGUAACCACGUGAGGAAGCAUGUGACGAAGGUUAUCAGAGUUCGUUAAGGUUGUUAAACCACGUGGCAUCGAGCUGUUUAUUCUGGAAAUCAAGCUGGCUACCUAGAACAGAGUAUAAAGGCUGAGUUUCUGAGGUGAUUCAUGACGAUCUUCAUGAGUCUUGCAGAGAGGGUUUGCAAAGAGAGAAAGUGUUAAUCUGUUCUCUGUAACGUCUGUUGUAAGGCUCUGUAACAAUCUCCAUUGUAAUAUCAAUAAAGCUCAUCUUGAGGCUUCUCCCGUGGAUGUAAGCUGAGCAUUCCAUGCUCAGCUGAACCACGUUAAUCUUGGUGUCUGUGGUUCUUUUCUUGGUUCUUGUUUCAGUUUCUUGUUUGUGUUCAUUGCUAUUGUGCUUUGUUGUUCUUGGGUGAAUUCGUCUGAAUAAAUCUUGGGGGUGUGCAACUUGCAUUGACUAAAUCACAAGCAUCCUAGGGCAGUGGUCAGUUUAGUUUGGUUAUAGGCUUGCUGAUUCACUACAAUUGGUAUCAAAGCUGUGGUGUUCUGUGAUCAAGUCCAAGUAUGGUGUCUUCUAAGGUCGAUAUAGAAAAAUUCACAGGCAAGAAUGAUUUCAAUAUGUGGAAGAUUAAAAUGGAAGCCUUGCUGAUCACUCAGGGUUUGGGAGAUGCAUUUGAGCCUGAAAUGAAGGAAGGUAAAGGGGUUUCUUCAUCAAAGACUCCAGAGGAAUUUGCUGAAAUUCAUAAAAAGGCCAGGAGUACAAUAAUCCUGAGUCUUGGUGAUUCUGUCAUUAGAGAAGUGGCCAAAGAAAAGACAGUGGCUGGAUUAUGGAGCAAACUGGGAAGUCUUUAUAUGACCAAGUCUCUUGCAAAUAGACUCUACAUCAAGAAGAGGAUGUUUACACUGAAAAUGGUGGAAGGAGCUUCACUGGAAGAACACAUUGAUGAGUUUAACAAGGUAUGUGAUACCCUGGAAACCAUUGAUGCAGCUUUGGAUGAUGAAGGGAAGGCUCUCUUGCUUAUCAGUUCAUUACCAAAGUCCUAUGAAAACUUGGUUGAUGCCCUGAUGUAUGGAAGACAAACCCUAACACUUGAUGAAGUAAAAUCUGCCCUGAAUACUAGGGAACUUCAAACUAAGCAAGGACAUUUGGAGAAUAGUGGAAGUGAAGGACUGACAGCAAAUGUGAAGACUAACAAGAAGAAGAAGAAAGGCAAAUCCAAGAACAAAGAAAGAGAUCUAAAAUGCUUUCAGUGUCACAAAGAAGGCCAUUUUAAGAAGGAUUGCCCAGAAAAGAAAUCAAAGACAAAAGAUUCAAGAAAUCAAAGUGGAGAUGCUGCUGUAGUAGAAGAGGAAGGAUAUGAGUCUGCUGGUGUAUGUGUGGCAACAGAAAACAGCCAAAAAGGUAAAUGGGUUCUGGACUCUGGAUGUACCUUUCACAUGUGCCCUUUUAGAAAUUACUUUAAUGAAUAUCAAGCAUUUGAUGGAGGUAGAGUGAUGAUGGGUAAUAACUCUAUUUGUAAAAUCAUUGGAAUUGGGAAUGUAAGUCUUAAACUACAUGAUGGUUCUAUAAGAGUACUUAGGCAAGUCAGGCAUGUACCAGACUUGAAAAGAAAUCUAAUUUCUCUUGGAGUGUUGGACCAAAUAGGGUGUAGAAUUAAGCUUGAAUCUGGUGAAUUGAGUGUUCUGAAUGGUUCAAACCUAGUCAUGAAAGGGACUAGGAAGAAUGGGGUUUACAUCUUAGAUGGUGAGGUGAUAUCUGGAGUAGCUGAUGUAUCCAUUAAGCAUACUGAAGAUAAAACCAGGCUAUGGCAUAUAAGGUUGGGGCACAUGAGUGAGAGAAGGUUAAAAGAGCUAGCAAAACAAGGGUUGUUUGGUUCUGACAAGAUUGGAAAUCUGGAGUUUUGUGAAGAUUGUGUUCUAGGGAAGUCUUCAAGGGGAAGCUUCAAAAGGUCUAGUCAGAAAUCAAAUGAGAGGCUGGAUUAUGCACACUCAGACUUGUGGGGGCCUGCACAAUGUGUAUCUCUGGGAGGGAAUAGGUAUUUUUUAUCCAUCAUAGAUGAUUUCUCUAGGAAAGUCUGGGUAUAUGUGUUAAAAAACAAGGAUCAGACUUUUGAGAAGUUUAAAGAAUGGAAACAGAUGGUAGAAAACCAAACUGGAAAAAGAUUGACAAAACUGAGGACUGAUAAUGGUCUUGAAUUCUGCAACCAGCCAUUUGACAACUUUUGUGCAAAUGAGGGUAUAGCAAGACACAGGACAGUAAGGAUGACCCCACAACAGAAUGGGUUAGCUGAGAGGAUGAACAGGACCCUUAUGGAGAGGGUAAGAUGUAUGCUGAUUCAGUCCAAACUCCCAAAAAUAUUGUGGGCAGAAAUCUUACUCACAGCUUGUUACCUUGUCAACCUGAGCCCCUCUACUGGAAUCAAUUUCAAAACACCUUUCGAAACGUGGUCAGGGAAAACUGCUGACUAUGGGAUUCUUAAAGCUUUUGGCUGCCCAGCUUAUGUUCAUGUCAGUCAAGGUAAGCUAGCUGCUAGAGCCUUGAGAGGCAUUUUCAUAGGCUAUCCAGAAGGAGUCAAAGGGUUUAAAGUUUAGUGCACUGACCUUAAUCUACCAAAAUGUAUAGUAAGCAGGGAUGUGGUGUUCAAUGCGGGCAGUUUGAUGAAGAUGAAUCAUGAACCUGAUCUGGAAACUGAAAAUUCAAGACUAACAGAGAAGUUAGAGUUUGAGGUGGAGCCAUCUACUUUCAGAAACACAACUGAAGCUGCAGAAUCAGAUGAUGUUCCUGAAAUCACUGAUGACACACAGGCACCUCAAGAUCAGUCAAGUUCUCAGGAGCAAAUCAGAGAAUACCAGCUCACCAGAGAUAGACAAAAAAGGCAGAUUAAACCAACAAGAAGAUAUGGCUAUGCAGAUUUAAUAGGUUUUGCUCUUGCAGCUGCAAAAGAUAUAGAUGAUGAGGAAACAAAGAAUUUUAAGGAAGCAACCCAGAGCCUGUUCAAAGAAGNNNNNNNNNNNNNNNNNNNNNNNNNNNNNNNNNNNNNNNNNNNNNNNNNNNNNNNNNNNNNNNNNNNNNNNNNNNNNNNNNNNNNNNNNNNNNNNNNNNNNNNNNNNNNNNNNNNNNNNNNNNNNNUAAAUGGAUCUGAACCAAGGAGAUUCAAGGCCAGACUUGUGGCCAAGGGUUAUACACAAAAGGAGGGGAUAGAUUUUAAAGAAGUGUUUUCUCCAGUGGUCAGACAUGCCUCAAUUAGAGUUAUAUUAGCCAUAACAGCUGUGCAAGACAUGGAGCUUGAUCAACUCGAUGUCAAGACAGCAUUUCUGCAUGGAAGGCUUGAGGAAGAAAUACUGAUGUCCCAGCCUGAAGGGUAUGAGAUCCCAGGGAAGGAAGACCAUGUGUGUCAGCUAAAGAAGUCACUCUAUGGGCUUAAGCAGUCUCCCAGACAGUGGUACCUCAGAUUUGAUGAAUUCAUGCAACUACAUGAGUUUAUCAAAUGCAGCUAUGACUGUUGUGUUUACUACAAGACAAUCAAGGAUGGUUUGUACAUAUACCUCCUUCUAUAUGUAGAUGACAUGUUGGUUGCUUGCAAAGAUAGAGAAGAAAUUGAUAAGCUCAAGGUGCUGCUGAAUUCAGAAUUCGAAAUGAAUGAUUUGGGGUAUGCAAGGAAGAUUCUAGGAAUGGAGAUCAGAAGAAAUAGAAGUAAAGGGAUCAUGUUUCUAUCACAAGAAAAAUACUUGAGAAAGGUGUUAGAAACAUUUGACAUGAGCAAGGCUAAACCUGUGCAACUACCAUUGGCUUCACAUUUCAGGUUAAGCAAUUUACAGUGCCCUCAAACAGAAGCUGAAAAGCAAGAUAUGGCAAGUGUACCCUAUGCAAAUGCAGUAGGCUGCCUUAUGUAUGCAAUGGUCUUAACUAGACCAGACACAUCUCAUGCUGUCAGUGUAGUCAGCAGAUACAUGGCACAACCUGGGGAAGACCAUUGGAAGGCAGUAAAAUGGAUACUCAGGUAUCUCAAUGGCACUGUAAAUUGGGGUCUGAUGUAUGGCAAAACAGGAGCAAGUAAUGAGGUUCUGAAGGGGUAUGUUGACUCAGAUUAUGCAGGGGAUUUAGAUAGGAGAAGGUCUCUUACAGGAUACUUGUUCAUGUUAAAUGGUUGUGCUGUAAAUUGGAAGGCAACACUACAAAGUGUAGUAGCUCUUUCAACUACUGAAGCUGAGUAUACAGCUGCUACAGAAGCUGUAAAAGAAGAACUUUGGCUCAAGGGGUUGGUGACAGAGCUGGGAUUACAUUAGAAGUCAGUAUCAGUCUAUUGUGACAGCUCAAGUGCCAUACACUUGAGUAAAAACCCUGCACACCAUGAAAAGACAAAGCAUAUAGACAUUAAGCUCCAUUUUAUCAGAAAUGAAGUGUCAAGGGGUGCUGUGAAAAUGGUGAAGAUUCAUAUUGAUGAGAAUCCUGCAGAUGCAUUUACAAAGGUGAUUCCUGUGGCUAAGUUCAGAGCUUGCCUGGACCUAGCUGGCUUGUGCAGUCAGUAAUAUGUGUUGUGCAAAUUUUAAUGUACUCGCAAGCGCACGAAUCUAUUGUAGUAUAGACUAAUGGUGACGAGUGUCGAUCCCACGAGGAGGUGGAUUUUAAUUAUAUGUAGAAUUAAUUUUGUAAAUGGGUAGUUGGAUUUAUGGUGGAAAUGAUUUGGAAUAUACUAAUAAUUAAAUUAAAAUGGCGAGAAUAAAUUCUAAAAUUGGAAUUGCAAUUGAGAGAAUAAAUUGAAGAGAAAAUCUAUUAAAUUGACGUACUUGGGUAUCUGGAUCCGUAUCAACAUGCAUCAUGGGCUAAAUAUUCCUUAGUAAUACCAAUUAAAUCAUGAGGGGGGAAUCCACACCUCAUGAACCACGCUCUAAUCAAUAUGGUGCUAAGGGCUUAUCGUGCCAAAUAAUAAUAACCUUGUACCAGAGGGCCGGUGAAACCAAGGCGGUACUAGACAAGAUUAGUAUUAUUUGUCGACGAGAAGUCAAAACAUCCACAAAAACUAGAGGGGAAGAGAAAAUAAAUUUACCAAAUUAAGCCCGUGACACAUGUUGAGACUUCACCUUCAACCCAAGCUUGAAAGAAAAUUAGCCACUCAUAAUUGAACUAGGGGCAAAAUGGGAAUUUAUUAAAAUACAAAGAAAAUACAAGAUGGAGAGGGAAUUACAGAAAAUGGAUCCCAAAAAUGGAUUCAGAGAUAUCAAAUUAGGGGGGGGAGGCCCCCUUUUUAUAGAUACAUGGAGUAAAUCAUGGCCAUCGGAUUAAAAACAGUUUGGACGCUCAGGAUUGCGCCACGUCAUCAGUCAACAGUCCACGGUUUGACCACGCGGAUGAACAGUAACACGGUUUGACCCGACUUUGAACAGUAACGCGGUUUGGUUGAAAAUAAUCCUGUGUGAUGCAUGCACCGUACGCGAGAUUUUUCGUCCACUGAUAUGCUGCCACGUCACCAUCAACAGUGCAUAAGAAUUUUAGUCCAACAGGAUCGUGACACCUCAUCAGUCAAUGCCACAUCAUCGGUCAAUGCCACGUCAUCAUCCGUUUAUGUGAACAGUGUCGUGAACAGUAACGUAUACAGUACCGUACACGUGAAUAGUACCGUACAUGUGAAUAGUGCCAUUUUUCCUUUUAUGCUCCUCCUAAGGUUUUCGACCGUCCUGAGUUCAAAAGUGAUGUCCGUUUUGCCGUCUGAUCUCUCCUUUAUUGUGAAAUGACUAUAAUGCCCCUAAAAUACAUAAAAUACUUAAUUAAAAUAAAACACAUGUAAUUAAAUCACAAGAAGGUUAAAUAUAUAACAGUAAGGGUUGUUAGUAAGACUUAAAAUGUAAAAUGACGGUUUUCUCCUUUAUAAAUAUGCAUUUUCUAACACUCAACACACCCCCCAACCAGCUUAUUGCUAGUCCCUAGCAAAUAAAGCGAAAAUAAAAUUCAAAUUCAAAAUAUAUAUAUUUUUUUAAUAGAAACACUCGUAUUUAUUCCAUCAGAUUAAUGAUAGCAAUCAAAUAAAAGUAUAAGCAUUAUCUCCAGUCUAAAGCAACAUCACACCCACAUCAACCAUCCACAUGAAUUAGCCCAGUAGACUUUGUUUUAGCUACUCUCAAGAAUGACAUGUCAAACCCCAAAAUCUCACUGGAAGUAGUGACACUCUCACAAAUAAAUUAAUCCCAAUAAAAAUAGUCACUCCAAUGAAUGGUAAUUGAGAGAGAAAAUAAUAAAGAAGUGAUAUCACAUGCUCUCACCAAGAUGAAAUAAAUAUGCCCUCAGCUUAGAAAUAAUACGAUCUCAAGUCAAAUAAAAUGUUAGUCAACCCACUUUAUUUAUCUUUUUUUUUUUUAAUUAUGCAUCACUACAUCUUUUUAGCCCAUAUAACUAUCUUCUACUUCGGACUAUAGUUCCCUAAAAUCAAGAAGGACUUUUAUUAGGACGUAACGUAGGCUAGGGACAUGGUUAACAAAGAAGGGAAAUAAGGAAAACAAAGUGUAUGUUUGAGAAAAAUGCAGAGAAUUUUUUUUUUUUUUUUGGAAGUUGCAAGGUGGAUUUCACCUAUUUUUAUUCUUUUGAAACAACAACUUUUGUUUUUGUUUUUGUUUUUGUUUUUUUGUUUUUGUUUUUUUUUUUUUUUGCUUUUAUUUGGCAUAACUUCACUGAACAAAAUAAUUAUUUACAUUUUCUCAAACAUAAAUAGGUGAUGGAACUUAUAAGACAUCGGGUAAUACUCCAAAUCGGAGUGGGUCAAGAUGAUAAGUUGACAAAGAAAAUGUUUUUUUUUUUUAAAGGCUCAAAAGGGUUAACUAUGGAUAUUUAAUAAAAUGGAUGGCUAGAAAGGCUCAAACGGAUCAAAGAUGGCCUUUCCAUCGUCUUUUAUGGCUCUGAAUAACCUUCCAUAUCUACUAGUUAGAUGGGCCUCCAAAUGUAGCAACACACUUUUUUUUUUUUUAUUAAGGGUUAACUCAAAAGAAAUUUAGAGAUCGUGUAUACAAUAAUAAACUGUUAAGCUGUAUAAAGAAUGGGCAAAAGGGUUACUCUCCAAGAAAAAUGAUAGGCUCAAAAACUCACUUGGUACUUAUUAUGACAUGUUCAUUCCUUCAAGCAACUCAUAUAUGUCUCCAACAUCAACAUGUAGAGUAGCAAACAUAAUGUAACAUCACUUAAGACCAAAGAUAAUACAAAUACUAAAAUUUAAAUUAAUCAUGUCACCCAAUGUUAAAACAAAUCAAAAAAAAAUUUUUUUUUAAAAAAAACAUUCUACCCCCCAACCUAUUCUAAACAUAAAAAAGAAAAAAAUAUGCAUGCAGAAAUGUGAAAAUGAUGUAGAAAAAUUAAUUUAGAAAAGUUACAUUUAAAAUGAUAGAAAAGAAAAUGAUUUUUUUAUUAUUUUUUUUAAAGAAGAUGCGUUUCUAGAGGAACUACACUCCAUAUUCAGCCAUCUUCGACUCAAAAGUUGGAAAAUGCAUUUUUAUAGAGGAUAAAUUAAAAAGAAGAAAAAUAAACAUAAACACAUAAUAAAGAAAAAAGAAAAUGUCUUAAUUUUUUUUUUUAAGUUUUUUUUUUUUAAUUUUUUUUUUAAACUAUGAAGAUGCGUUUCUAGAGUCACUACACUCCAUAUUCAGCCAUCUUCAACUCAAAAAGUUAGCAACAGUUAGUUUCUACAACAAAAAAUUAGUAAAAACUUAACCAAAAUUUCAUAAUUGUCGACUAUUCCCUCCCCCCAACCAGAACGAAACAUUGUCCUCGAUGUUUGAAAUGAAAGAAGUAGAGUUUAGAAGACAUCACCUGGGUGGUGCAACACAGAAGAAAAUAUUUACAGGCGGAGAGUUAAAUCUAAUUUGUACUUCUUACUGCUGCUACUGUUACCAUCAUUAUUUGGGCGCUCCAACACAAAGGUCCAGGGGUCUAGCUCCGGUUUAUACGCUUGUAACAGAUCAAGUAGCUCAUUAGCAGUGUGAGCACAAAUAAAGAGUUUUUUCACAUUAGCGGGAAUGAAAUAGUUUUUUAUUGCAUGGUUAAGAAAUGCGAUAAAGCCAUCAUAAAAGUUAUUGACAUUUAACAAACCGAUGGGUUUUUGGUGGAUGUGCAGAUGGGCCCAAGAUGCUAGCGUGAUAAGUGCCUCUAGUGUUGCAAGAUCUCCUGGAAGGAAAAUAAAAGCAUCAGCAUGAUUAAGCAUUUCAGUUAUUCUUUCUUGCAUACCUGAGACGACUAACUCUUCUCCAGUUGAUGAGUCAGACGAACUGCCCAAUGGUUUUAAGACUCUUGGGAUGAUGCCUAACACUUGACUUCCUCUGAUAAAAGCUGCUUCGGAGACCAUUUUUGAUAACCCUCGAUUACCUCCUCCAUACACCAAGUGUAAUUUUCUCGCUGCUAUGCUUCGACCAAGAUCUAUGGCUGCCUCAACGAACUCUUUAUGUUUGCCAUAGGUAAAUCCAGAAAGCACACAAAUGUUCUUGAAUUGUCUAUUGGAAGUAGCUGCCAUUGUGAUACUUCUCGAAAACAAUUUGUGAGUGCUUGACAAAAAAGAAAUCACAUUUAAGAGUCUUGGUGAUAGUGGGUCAUGGUUGUGUAUGAGGUAAUAUGUCAGUGUCAAAUAACGCGUAAAGCACGUGGCUCGCAAGUCAAAAAGAAAACAGUAAAAAGGAAAAAGCAAACAGUAAUAAAAUUAUUAAAGACAAUAAUGCAAACAAUAAGACAAUAGUGAAAUAAAAUAACAAUAAAGUAAAAGGAUAUUUACAGGUAGUUGCGACUGUGGCUCACAUCUUCCUCUGGUUUUACGUCCAGAAACGGCUUGAACGCCCUCUAUGGGUCGAGGAUAGGCUUCCUAUCCAGUUUUCUUAUAAACUGGCAAACAGGGUCGUUUAUAGUCAGAUUCCCGAGACUAUAUCGUGCAUGCUCUUUCUGGAAUAACGGCCAUAACUGGAGAAUCGCUCCUUGCACAUAUCCACUGGGAUGCGUUUCAAGAGACAAAAGGAUAUCAUCCAAUGACUCCUUAUUCAAGCCAUCCCUAAUGAAUUGAAUCUUAUCUUCCCUGUUAUCAGACACCAUUCCUAAAGAACAUGGGUUUUUAUUGCAACUCAUUCUGGCACACUUAUGACAAGCAACAGAAAUUCUUCGAGCUCGUCGUUUUCUUGCAUAAUUUCCUUUACCACAACCAGGCAUGUAUGCAAUAAAUUUUGGAGGUAACUCACCUGCCGAUCGUACUUUAGCCUCGAUUAACCAACGGAUGUCAGCAGGUAUGUUAUUCCUCAUGAGUAAUCGCAUGCGUUCGGACCGAGCUUUAUAGAUCGUAAGGAGGGCAUUCUGAGGAAGUGAAGGGAAUCGCUUGUGAAGCUUCGCUAGAAUCUCGUUUCUGUCCAUACCUUCGCCUCAGAAUAUCAGUUAUUAUGGGAAACUGAAGUAACCGACUUGAUUGUCACGGAGUACCGUUAUCCGCCAUUUCACCGGGGUAACAAACUAAAGCACACAAAUAGAAAAACAAAUUAAAACACACAAAGAAAAUUAAAAUCGUCCUCUUAUUGAAUUUACCUCAAGCUCCAACUGGAUGUCGUAAACACUUCUCUCAAUGUCUCUGAGUUGGUGUUCUAAACCCUCAACAUAGGCUACUAACUCUGGUGGUUGUAGAGCCCAAAUGCGAUGUGUUUUACAAAAUUGAAUCUGUCUUUUGAGAUGAGUUUUGACACGUUGAAGUGGUUUAAGAAUGUUCAGGAGGAACGGUCUAAGUAUGAGACUCAUGAUUAAAAAUGAUAAGAGAAAACUUAAUGGUAAAAUAAACACACUUAUGCAAAAACAAUUUCAAUUAGCAAAAGAAUAAUAAUAAAAAGAAAGAAAGAAAAAUCAAAUCAACGAAAAGAAAAAAAAAUCAAUUCAAAUUUGGUGGGUCACUCAAAUUUAUUUCGGUGUCUUCUUCAUGUGGUUGGUACUCUAGAUAUGGCUUUAAUAUUUGACCAUUAACUUUAAACGUGACACCAUUCUUUGGGUCUUUAAUUUCAAUUGCCCCAUGUGGAAAAACAGUAUGAACAAUAAAUGGGCCAGACCAUCGAGAGCGUAACUUACCUGGGAAUAGGUGCAAGCGAGAAUUGAAUAAAAGCACUUUCUGACCUGGGGUGAAAGAUUUUCUCAUAAUUUGCUUGUCAUGGAAGACUUUCAUUCGUUGCUUGUAAAUCUUGGCAUUUUCGUAUGCAUCAUUGCGAAUUUCUUCAAGUUCUGCCAGUUGUAAUCUUCUUUCUGAGUUGGCUUGCUGCAUGUCAAAAUUGAAUUUCUUGAUGGCCCAAUACGCACGAUGCUCGAGUUCCACAGGUAGGUGGCAAGCUUUUCCAUACACUAGCCUGUAGGGUGACAUCCCAAUCGGGGUCUUGAAAGCCGUUCUAUAUGCCCAUAAUGCAUCAUCAAGUCUUAAUGACCAAUCUUUUCUGUCUGGCCUCACCGUUUUUUCUAAUAUGUGCUUUAUUUCUCGAUUGGAGAUCUCAACUUGGCCACUGGUUUGCGGAUGAUACAGGGUCGCCACUUUGUGUGUGAUUGAAUACUUUGUCAAAAGAGCCUUGAAUGCUUUGUUACAAAAGUGGGCACCACCAUCACUGAUUAUCGCUCGAGGGAAUCCAAAGCGUGAAACAAUGUUGCUUUUCAAAAAUCCUAUCACCACUUUGUGAUCAUUGGUCCUACAUGGAAUUGCUUCUACCCAUUUCGAGACGUAGUCAACACCAACCAAUAUGUAUUGAUGGCCAAAAGAAGGGGGAAAGGGUCCCAUGAAGUCGAUACCCCAUACGUCAAAAAUCUCAACCACUAAAAUUGGAUUUAGUGGCAUCAUGUUUCUUCGUGUAAUGCUCCCCAUUCGUUGACACCUAUCACAUGAAGAACAGAAAGUGUAAGCAUCUCGAAAUAUAGUUGGCCAAUAGAAACCACAUUGUAAAACUUUUGUAGCUGUUUUCUUAGCACUGAAAUGGCCUCCACACGCUUGUUCAUGGCAGAAUGAAAGAAUAUUCUGAAUUUCAUUUUCAGGGACACAUCGUCUAACAAUUUGGUCUGCACAAUACUUGAACAAAUAUGGGUCAUCCCAAAAGAAAUUCUUUAUUUCUGCAAAGAAUUUAGCCUUAUCUUGCUUGGUCCAAUGCUCUGGAAGUUUACCUGUAACAAGAUAAUUAACUAUAUCAGCAUACCAAGGUAAUACUUCCACAUUCAUUAAUUGUUCAUCUGGAAAUGACUCAUUCAAUGGUAAUGAUUCUGUAAUUGUGUCAAAAUGGAGACGAGAGAGGUGGUCCGCCACAACAUUCUCUGUCCCUUUUUUAUCUUUGAAUUCCAAGUCAAAUUCCUGCAAAAGUAACACCCAACGAAUUAGUCUGGCUUUUGCAUCUUUCUUUGUGAGAAGAUAUUUAAGAGCAGCAUGAUCUGUAAAUAUAAUUAUUUUACAACCAAUGAGAUAUGAUCGAAAUUUUUCCAAUGCAAACACUACUGCUAGCAUUUCUUUUUCAGUAGUUGAAUAGUUCAACUGUGCAUCAUUCAAUGUCAUACUAGCAUAGUAAAUAACAUGGGGAAUUCGAUCAACUCUUUGUCCUAAUACUGCUCCUACUGCAUAAUCAGAUGCAUCACACAUUAGCUCAAAUGGUAAGUUCCAGUUUGGGGCCUGAAUGAUGGGUGAUGAUGUCAACAAAUGCUUUAAUUUUUCAAAUGCCACAAGACAUGAAUCAUUAAAGACAAAAGGUGCAUCCUUAGCAAGUAAAUUGCAUAAGGGUCUAGAAACUUUGCUAAAAUCUUUAAUGAAACGUCUAUAAAAACCAGCAUGCCCAAGGAAAGAUCUUACUUCUCUGAUUGUUUUAGGUGGAGGAAGAUUAGAAAUGAGAUCCACCUUGGCUUUGUCAACCUCAAUACCUUUGCUCGAAAUGAUGUGACCGAGAACAAUACCUUGUUUUACCAUAAAAUGGCAUUUCUCCCAAUUUAAGAUCAAGUUCUUCUCGAUACAUCUCUGCAGAACUAGUGUUAGAUGAUGUAAACAUUGAUCAAACGAGUCACCAAAGACAGAAAAAUCAUCCAUAAAGACUUCAAGGAAUCGUUCAACCAUAUCAGAAAAAAUGCUCAACAUGCAUCGUUGAAAUGUAGCAGGUGCAUUACAUAAUCCAAAUGGCAUUCUCCUAUAUGCAAAUGUGCCAAAAGGGCAAGUGAAAGUAGUUUUCUCUUGAUCUUUUGGUGCUAUGGGAAUCUGAUUAUAUCCUGAGUAACCAUCUAGAAAGCAGUAAAAUUCAUGGCCUGCUAAUCUAUCAAGCAUUUGAUCAAUAAAUGGUAAAGGAAAAUGGUCUUUACGUGUGACAGAAUUCAAUUUUCUAUAAUCAAUGCAUACACGCCAUCCUGUAGUCACUCUAGUGAGUAUCAAUUCAUUAUCAGCAUUGGUAACUACUGUGACUCCUGACUUUUUAGGGACAACUUGUACAGGACUGACCCAUGAACUAUCAGAAAUUGGGUAAAUGAUACCUGCAUCUAAUAGCUUAAGGACUUCAGUUCUAACCACUUCUUUCAUAUUAGGAUUUAACCGACGUUGCAUUUCCCUAGUAGAUUUAGCAUUUUCAUCAAGGUGAAUGUAAUGCAUGCAGUCUACUGGAUUUAUACCUUUGAUGUCUGCUAUGGUCCAUCCUAAUGCUCUUUUGUGCUCUUUUAAAACAUCCAACAACUUACCUUUUUGUUCAUCAUUUAGGGAUGAUGAGAUGAUUACCGGCAGAGUACUUUCUUCUCCCAAAAACGCAUAUUCCAUAGUGUUGGGCAAUGGUUUGAGCUCGAGUUUCGGUGGUGAUUCUGAUGAUGGAAUGAGUUGCUUCUCUGAUGGUGCUAGUUGCUCAACUCUUGACUUCCAUUUAUUAGUAUCCAUAGAUGGUGCUGAGUCAAGCAGGGCGUUGACCUCAUCAACCGAUCUGUCAAUAUCAAAAUCAAAACCAAAGUGAGUUAAACAUGUUUGUAAAUGAUCAUCACUAAGGUUUGAAAGAAAAGUGUCAUCAACUAAUGCUUCGAUUAAAUCCACAUCAACAAUUCCAUCAUCUGCACUGUGAGGUUGUUUGGCAAUGUUGAAGAUGUUCAACUCCAUAGUCAUGUUGCCGAAGGACAAUUGCAUAUUUCCGGUCCUACAUUGAAUGUGAGCAUCCGCAGUUGCCAAGAAAGGUCGGCCUAGAAUAAUGGGGAUGUGCUUCCUUGAAUCCUGUAUUGGUUGAGUGUCAAUUACAAUGAAAUCAACAGGAAAAUAAAACUUGUCUACCUGGAUAAGCACGUCCUCCACAAUACCACGAGGUAUUUUCGUGGACCGAUCUGCAAGCUGUAACACCACUGGAGUUGGGUGUAAUUCUCCCAGUCCAAGUUUCACGAAUACAGAGUAAGGCAAAAGAUUUACACUAGCUCCUAAAUCCAACAAAGCAUUCUCAAUUGUGUGGUUCCCUAUACUACAUGAGAUAGUGGGGGAGCCUGGGUCUUUGCAUUUUAAAGGAAUUUUAUGUUGGAGUAUAGAACUAACGUUUUCUGUUAAAAAUGCCUUCUUUUGAACAUGCAUGUUUCUCUUUUUAGUACACAAAUCUUUAAGAAACUUGGCAUAAGAUGGAACUUGGUUUAUAGCAUCAAGUAAAGGGAUGUUAACACUUACCUGUUUGAAGAUUUCGAGAAUCUCACCUGUAGAUUUUCCCUUUUUUCCUUUCGCUAACCUCUGAGGAAAUGGAGCUUUGGGAACGUAUUCUCGUGGGUUGGCUUCUUCUCUCUCCUCCGGUGGUGAGUCCUCAACAUUCACAGGUACAAUUUGAUUUUCUUUUGUCACCGGCAUCUCCACUUUGUUGUCGACUUCUUUUCCUUUUCGCAAGGUCAUUACUGCUUUGACUUCUCCAUGCUGCUGUGGUGAACUGGUACUUGCUUCAUGCACUCCUUUAGGGUUAGGCACUGGUUGACUUGGAAACUUACCUUUCUCAACGGUCAUUGCCAAGGUCUGAACUGAAGAAGCAAGUUGUCCCACCAUCUUCUCAAGGCUUGAAACUGAUUGAGCUUGUGAGUUGAAGCCUGCUCUCAACUCAUUUCGUAGUCCAUCAAUGGUGCGGUUCUGUUGCUCAAUCGUGGAGUGAGUAAGAUUCUUAAGAUUCUGGAAUGAAUCCUCCCAUGGUCUGGGCUGAGAGUAAUUCUGGUUCUGAUUGUAUGGUCUAAAUGGUGGCUGAGAGGCUUGAGAAGUUUGAGAAAUUUGUUGCAUUGGUGGAGCUGGAGCUGCUGGUCCAUUCUGUUGGAAUCCUUGAGACCAUGAAAAAUUGGGGUGAUCUCUCCAUCCAGGGUUAUAUGUGUUGGAGUAUGGGUUGUAAUUUGAUGGCUUUCUCAUUACACCUAUGGCAUUGGCUUGAUCUGAGUAUGAGUCAUGGUCAUGUGGUUCUGUUGAUUUAGCAGUCGAUAAUGAUGCUAUUUGUCGAGCAAGACCUUCAACCAUCUCCUUGACUUCUUUGAUUCCUGAAGUUGACUCGCCAAUGUGAACCUCAUUCACUCCUUUAAUCCUUCUAGUAUUCCUGAGUGAUCGACUCCGUUGUUGGGAAUUGUCCGCUUGUCGCUGGAAGAAUUCCCAAAUUUCUGACACACUUUUUGACAUUAGCUCUCCUCCACUUGUUGCCAUUAGCCAUUCUUGCACAUUCGGCAAUAAUCCCUCCAAAAAGUAUUGGCAUUGGUGCCAUUUCUCGUACCCAUGAUGUGGACACUUCAAGAGUAGCCCAUUGAAUCGCUCCCAUGUUUCAAAAAACUGCUCGUCCUCUCUCUGGGUAAACUCCGAGAUUUCCCUGCGAAUAGCGUUGGUUUUAUGCACUGGGAAAUAUUUAUUUAAAAAUUUUGUAACCAUUUGUUCCCAUGAUGAAAUGCUAUUGGCAGGUAAAUUAUUUAACCAUGAACGAGCUCUAUCCUUUAAAGAAAAUGGGAAUAGUCUAAGUUUAACAUCAUCGUCUGAAAAAUUUUCAUAUUUAAAAGUUUGACAAAUGGCAUGAAAAUCGUUCAGUGAUUAUAUGGAUCCUCAUUUUCUAGGCCAUAAAAUGUGGGGAGACAAUUUAGCACACUAGGUUUUAGUUCAAAGCUCCUAGCAGCUACAUUAGGGUAUCUUAUGCAUGAUGUGCUCAAAUUAGCUAAAGGACUGAAGUAGUCCUUAAAUGGCCUCUCUUGUGGUUGCAAAUCCAUUUCAAAUUUAUUUUUAAUGUGCUUUUGUGUGCGAAGUGUUUUUUCUAAUUCAAGGUCUAUAGGUUCAAGAUUAGGUAAUAAUGACCUACGACCAUGCAUGCAAAACAAAUAAAAAGAAAAUAAAGAUGGGAACAAAACAAAUAAAAAUAAAGAAGAGGGAGAAAUUACGAUACUAACCUUAUUGCGCUAUUACAACCUUACUAUAAAAAUACACAAAAACAAAUAUGUGAAAUAAAUUAACUAAAAAUAAAUUAAUAAGAUAAACAAAAAAAAAUUACAAAGAAAAAUAAAUUAAAAAUUAAAUUACAGAAUUUUACAGAAGAGAAAAAGAAAAAAAAAUACUAACCUUUAAAUGCAGAUUCAAUUUUUUUUUCUUUUUUUUUUAAUAAAAAAAAUUACAAGAAAAUAAUUAAAAGAAAUUGUUCACAAAAAUUAAUUCUAUGAAUUAAAAUUACUUACCUCCCCGGCAACGGCGCCAAAAACUUGUUGUGCAAAUUUUAAUGUACUCGCAAGCGCACGAAUCUAUUGUAGUAUAGACUAAUGGUGACGAGUGUCGAUCCCACGAGGAGGUGGAUUUUAAUUAUAUGUAGAAUUAAUUUUGUAAAUGGGUAGUUGGAUUUAUGGUGGAAAUGAUUUGGAAUAUGCUAAUAAUUAAAUUAAAAUGGCGAGAAUAAAUUCUAAAAUUGGAAUUGCAAUUGAGAGAAUAAAUUGAAGAGAAAAUCUAUUAAAUUGACGUACUUGGGUAUCUGGAUCCGUAUCAACAUGCAUCAUGGGCUAAAUAUUCCUUAUUAAUACCAAUUAAAUCAUGAGGGGGGAAUCCACACCUCAUGAACCACGCUCUAAUCAAUAUGGUGCUAAGCGCUUAUCGUGCCAAAUAAUAAUAACCUUGUACCAGAGGGCCGGUGAAACCAAGGCGGUACUAGACAAGAUUAGUAUUAUUUGUCGACGAGAAGUCAAAACAUCCACAAAAACUAGAGGGGAAGAGAAAAUAAAUUUACCAAAUUAAGCCCAUGACACAUGUUGAGACUUCACCUUCAACCCAAGCUUGAAAGAAAAUUAGCCACUCAUAAUUGAACUAGGGGCAAAAUGGGAAUUUAUUAAAAUACAAAGAAAAUACAAGAUGGAGAGGGAAUUACAGAAAAUGGAUCCCAAAAAUGGAUUCAGAGAUAUCAAAUUAGGGGGGGGAGGCCCCCUUUUUAUAGAUACAUGGAGUAAAUCAUGGCCAUCGGAUUAAAAACAGUUUGGACGCUCAGGAUUGCGCCACGUCAUCAGUCAACAGUCCACGGUUUGACCACGCGGAUGAACAGUAACACGGUUUGACCCGACUUUGAACAGUAACGCGGUUUGACCCGGAUGAACAGUAACGCGGUUUGGUUGAAAAUAAUCCUGUGUGAUGCAUGCACUGUACGCGAGAUUUUUCGUCCACUGAUAUGCUGCCACGUCACCAUCAACAGUGCAUAAGAAUUUUAGUCCAACAGGAUCGUGACACCUCAUCAGUCAAUGCCACAUCAUCGGUCAAUGCCACGUCAUCAUCCGUUUAUGUGAACAGUGUCGUGAACAGUAACGUAUACAGUACCGUACACGUGAAUAGUACCGUACAUGUGAAUAGUGCCAUUUUUCCUUUUAUGCUCCUCCUAAGGUUUUCGACCGUCCUGAGUUCAAAAGUGAUGUCCGUUUUGCCGUCUGAUCUCUCCUUUAUUGUGAAAUGACUAUAAUGCCCCUAAAAUACAUAAAAUACUUAAUUAAAAUAAAACACAUGUAAUUAAAUCACAAGAAGGUUAAAUAUAUAACAGUAAGGGUUGUUAGUAAGACUUAAAAUGUAAAAUGACGGUUUUCUCCUUUAUAAAUAUGCAUUUUCUAACACUCAACAAUAUGCAAAAGGGUUGGAGAAGGAUUUAGAGUGAGGAUAAACUUUGAUUCAAGGUGGAGAAUUGUGAGAUGAAUGAAUCAAGUUUGGUUCCAGAAACGACCACGUUUUGGAGCUGUAAAGCUUCAUUAAACUCACGUGCUUAUCAGCUGGUUAGCAACAGAAAACGAAUUGAUCAAAACGACAGGACUUGAGCGCGUUUUGCAUAUCAGUUUAAGUAACCACGUGAGGAAGCAUGUGACGAAGGUUAUCAGAGUUCGUUAAGGUUGUUAAACCACGUGGCAUCGAGCUGUUUAUUCUGGAAAUCAAGCUGGCUACUUAGAACAGAGUAUAAAGGCUGAGUUUCUGAGGUGAUUCAUGACGAUCUUCAUGAGUCUUGCAGAGAGGGUUUGCAAAGAGAGAAAGUGUUAAUCUGUUCUCUGUAACGUCUGUUGUAAGGCUCUGUAACAAUCUCCAUUGUAAUAUCAAUAAAGCUCAUCUUGAGGCUUCUCCCGUGGAUGUAAGCUGAGCAUUCCAUGCUCAGCUGAACCACGUUAAUCUUGGUGUCUGUGGUUCUUUUCUUGGUUCUUGUUUCAGUUUCUUGUUUGUGUUCAUUGCUAUUGUGCUUUGUUGUUCUUGGGUGAAUUCGUCUGAAUAAAUCUUGGGGGUGUGCAACUUGCAUUGACUAAAUCACAAGCAUCCUAGGGCAGUGGUCAGUUUAGUUUGGUUAUAGGCUUGCUGAUUCACUACAGUUACCAUGUCCCCGCAGGCACCCAACUGUUUGUUAACGCUUGGAAGAUUCAACGCGACCCAAGUGUAUGGGAGGAGCCAUGUCAGUUUCAGCCAGAAAGAUUUCUUACGAGGUAUAAGGAUAUUGAUGUUAGGGGGCAAAAUUUUGAAUUGAUACCAUUUGGCAGUGGAAGACGAAUGUGUCCUGCAGUGUCAUUAGGCCUCCAAGUUGUGCAACUAACGCUUGCUUCAUUAGUGCAUGCGUUUGAUUUCACAACCCCAUCAGAUGAACCGGUUGACAUGGGAGAGGCAAUGGGCCUAGCCAUUGCUAAAGCUACACCACUUGAAGUGAUUCUUAGUCCACGCCUUUCUGCUUCUUUAUAUGGUUAAAAUUAGCUUGUGUACUUGUUAAGGCAAAAAUAAGUUGUACUUUUCAACAAUUUAGGGUGCGUUUGGGACAUGUAUUGUAUUAUGUUUUAUUGCAUUAUUUUAAUAUUAGUGUAUUGUAUUAUGCUGUAUUGCAUUAAGACUGUAUUAUAAUAAUAUUAUGCAUGUUUGGUUCUACACUGUACUGUAAUAAUUUUUUUGAUUAAUUUAAAUUAAAUAUUAUAUUAUAUUAUAGUAUAUUAAUAUACUUAUAUUGUAUUAAUAUUUUAUAUUAUUAUUAAUUUUAAAUUAAUAUUAUUCAAAUUUAACUAUUUAUUAUUAGUUAUAAUAAAUUAUAAAUUUAUUAAUAAAUUAUAAUGUAAAAAAAAUAUAAUAUAAUAAUAUUGAAUAAUAAAUUACAUGUUUAUUAAUUUAUAUUAAUAAUUAUAAUAUAAAAAUAAUAUUAAAUUAAAAGUUAUAUUUAAUAAUAAUAAUAAUUAUUAUUAUUAUUAUAAAGUAAAAGUCAAAACGCAAAACUCAAAAAGCAAGACUCCAGCGAUAGUUGCAAAAGCAAAAAAGGGAGAGAGAGAGAAAAAAAAAAAAAACAAAACAAGCAGCAAUUGCUGCAUUAAGUUAAACCCGACUGUGAGUCGGGUAGCUAAUGCGGCAAUUGCCGCAUUAGUUUGGACUUUUAAUAUGAUGGCCCUGUAGCUUUUUAUUUGCUAAACAUGAGCUUGUGUUUAUAUCAAUGGGUGUCAUCACCGUGCGUUUAUCACAUUGUAUUAUAUUAAAGGUGAGUUUGACAUAUUAUAUUACAUUGUAUUAUUUAACGUUUGAUAAGUUGCUUUUGACUGUAUUAUGUUAACAUUAUAUUAUAUUAAUGUUAUAUAAUAUUUGAUAUUAUACUGUACUAUAUUAAUUUUUAUUUAUUUUAUGUUUGGUGUUGCAUUGCAUGGCAUUAUAUUAAUUGUUUUGGUGAAAAAUUUAGAUUACAAGUUGGGAAAAAAAUAUUAAUUAGUACUUAGAAAAAAAUGAUAAAGUAGAUGUUGUAAAUUUUAUAAUUUUUUACAUCAAUUAUAUUUUAGUAUAAAUGCAAAAGAUAUCACAAUUCUUUUGAAUAUAUGUAAAAUUAAAAAAUUCUAAAAUUUUUUGUGUGUAUAUAUACACACACAGGAGCAGUUCUCAAAUAUAUAUCUUGUGAAAUAAAGAUCAAAGAAAAUAAUUCAAUCAAAUAAUCUCUAAAAAUUAUCAUAACAUAAAUAAAUAGAUAAAAGCCAUCUCAUGAUAAAGAUGACAACAAAAGAAUUUACAUAUACCACAACAAACUAGAACCCUAAUCACUAAAUAAAAUGGAUUGAACAAUGCACCAAACUCAGUUCAAUUUAUAGCUGGAGGACGUUCUAAUUCUGUUGGUUCUUCCAGGGCUCUGGCUCACUGGUGGUGCCAUAAGCCCCUAUGGACGGGCCCUCUUCAUGAUGUUACACACAUCACAGAAAUUAAAUUCAGCUGAGAAGUGGGAUGGGUUGGUAAUGGCACAUGAACUGAUCUGGGAAAAAUUUUAUCACGGAUGAUAGAUGGAAGUGACCCCAGAUUGCCAUUUGGAUACAUCAAACUGGAAGAGGUCCUUGACUUACGUUAAUUUCUUCGGUUUGUUAAAUGACAAUCCUAUUCUUCUGUCAUUUAUUCUGCAUUGUUGUGUUGAAAUUCCAUGUAGCUGGUGAUUUUUCUAACUUCAUUAGAUGGCAAGCCGUGCAAAGAUUAAUUCUCCUUCCUUAGAGACCAUGAUGAGCGCCAUGCAAAAGGUAUUCUUGCAGUAGACUCUUUAAAGUGUUUAUUACAUACCAAGCCUUUGUGUCAUAUGAAGGAUUGAUAUCUUGGGAAAGCUGUAAAAUAAGGCAGCUAUUCUUCCCUCAACUGGGCAUAAAGAAACGAUGUCCACAGCUCCAUUCUGCAUUUCCUUGUAUGACCAUGCCUAGUGACUAUUGCAGGAGGGAUACGUAGCAAGUAGGUCACACAUUGCUUCCAAUGCAAUCAAGACAAAUUGUCCCAUGGUAGUAUGCAUCAGGAUUGCCAAGGAACUUCAGGGCUGCCAAAAAACAUAGGCUAAGUGAUGUUGGUAUGGACAAGACUGGCAGCAGAAGCCAUGCCUAGCUUUUCCGGAAGCAAUCAGAAUUUAGCGAUGUAACUGCGUCUCCGUAGACAGGAGUUGACUGCCCAUAUGCACCCAAGGGAUACAAAUAUUUUUUUUUUAGGCCAACUGCAAGAUUUUGAACGGAACGAAGGCCGCAAUGAAUUAUGAAAAGGGUGGAUUAAAAUGAUUUUAAUUAUAUUGACUUGGAAGAAACCGAUUCCUGAGUUUCAGUAAAAAAUCAUGAAUUGAUUUUAAUAUAGUUUCAUACAAGGUAUACUUUGACGCAAUUAUCACCGAUUAACUAAUAUAACAUAAUUAAAUUUAAAGUCAUUUUGUUUAAAUAAAUCAAUACACAUCAUAGCUGAAAAUAUAGACUUAGGAUUCUUUCCUAGUCUUUUUUUUUUCCCUCUCGUAGUCUCUCUCAAUAUUCCAAUUCUAGUUAAAAAAAAAUUGACUUAAUAGUAAACAAAGUGAAACAAGUCUGCCUAAAUUAUUAACAUUAAAAUUCAAAAAAUUCAAGAGUCAAGACUACUCAUUUUAGAGGCUAUUAGAGAAAAAAGAUUUGAAGAGGGUUCACGUUCAAAAAUAUAAAUAAUACAUCAUACAAGAUCCUUAAACAUUAUUUGAUAUGUCAUUACAUUUAUAAAUGACAAGUCAUUCAAUUUUCACUCUAGAGUAAAGAUUAUACAAAAUGUUAUCUGCCAUAAAAUUAUAAACAACAUAUACCGUAUCUGACGAAUUUCAAACAAAUAAUUUAACUCCAAGUAAGAAUCAACAACAUUUUACCUAUUUAGUAUCUUAAUUUCUUUUGAAUUCCAACUGAAAUAACAUUUAUUUAUUAAAUGGUAAAUUAAAAAUUUCAUGAGUUAUGAAGUUCAUCAUAAUGAGUCAUAUAAUAUUGAGAGUCAAGUUGAAACUCAAAUAUUAAAACUCCUAAAUUAGCUAACAUAAAAUUAAGAAACUCAUUAAAUAUGUAUAAAUGUUUAUAAUUAACUUAUUUUGCAGCUAAUUUUUCCAACUUGAAAACAUGUUAAUUCCAAAGGUCCCUUAAGAUGAAGAUUCCUAAUUUCACCUUAACCUUGGUGUGACAGUAAGCUUGACUUGAUAACCUUAAAAGGGUUAACAACUAGAGCCUAUCAAACUUAAUGGAACAAGUGUGAAAUACCUUCUCAAUAUACUGAAAUGAAUUCCUACCACUACAAAAUUUUAUAAUUGUCAUUGAAAUUAAAAAUCCCAAAAUUUUAACAAUAAUUCUUAAGACUUUGAAAAAGAAUAAGCGGGAAACAUUGAAACUUCCUACACAAAAUUCAAGUGCUUGUAGGUAUCUAAAACCAUAAUAGCAGAUUAAGAAUGGAAUAGACUUCAUGGGCGAACUGGAACUCCGAUGGCUGGGCGUGGCGCUUGACCAGGCUGACCAGGCUUUGGCAAAUCAUCCUGAAUGAAAAGGAAAAAAAAGAAAAAAUAUAUAUAUAUAAGAGCCAAUGAAGAAAAUUUUCAAGUACGCAAGCACAAAUGAAGACCAUAUAAAACUGACAAGCUUAACCAUUUUUCAAAUGCUACAGAAAUCACACAGCAACUAUCCCAAGACCAAAAACAUCCUCAAUUUGGGCUUUUAGUUCCCGGUAAAACAAAUGAAAAAGCUACCACACAGAGACAUAACACUGUCUCCUUUUUUUCCUCACCCCCCCCCCCCCCCCCUCUCUCUGCGGCUAACCCAGAAGUAAGCUUUUUUAACAGGCUGAAUGAGGAUAUUACUACUGGCAAGGAAAUCCUUGUGAUAAAACAGACUAGGUAAGUGGUCUAUCUGCCUACAUCUAUAAACCAUAAAUCAUUCUAAAAAUCAAUAUGAACAGAGAGCAUUAGCCAAAACCCUGAUUAAAAAAUCUCAAUAGAAACAUGCAAAAGAUACCCUGCGUCUCAUAAAACGCUUUGGUGGUUCACGGUUCCUGCGGUCAGUGCGCGAGCGAACCCUCACCACAUGCGAGUGAAUUGCACAGGAGACACAGUACUGCAUCUUUGCAUACAACUUAGGCAGAACAUAGUCUGCAUCAAAUAUAAAAGAUUCCCAUUAUUUCCCAUUCAAACAAUACAUAAUUAAUUACAAAAUAAGAGAAAUAAUAACAUGUGUACUAGAUAUUUACUAUCAUAGAUGCAGGCAUCCUGCACGUCUCUGACAGCAGCUUGCUCAACAAUGUUCCUCACAAGGAACCUCUUGAUGGCCUUGUCCUUUUCAUCCAUUCACAACCCAAAAUUAAAAAAAAAAAAAUUGUGUCAAAUUACAAUAAACAAAAGGCAUAUAAAUUAAUUUUUAAAUGCAAACUUAACAUCAUUACAACAACUCUAGUCUAGUCUAACUGUAUGAUUUGACCAAUACAUCCGCAGAAUUUAUCAUGACACAAGUUUACAAAAAAUAUGGAAUAACUGAAAAAAUGAAUCUUCUUUCCCGUAAUGCCACACAAUUGCCUCAUUUGGGGGGGCAAAAUUCUCAAUGUUCUUGAUUUUUAUCAAAAUGACCAAAACAAAACAGGGAACCAUGUAAUACUAAUAAUAAUAAAAAAGAUACAAUUUUAGUUAAUUAAAGCGAUACAAAAAUCAAAACAAAAUGCAUACUUUGGGGCAGCAUUUGCCGCAGUUGGAGCAGCGGAUGAAGUUGACGUGGCCACGGCCGUGCUUGUUGCGGCCGCCGUUCCGGCGCUUGAAGGUCUGUCAUAGAAAAAAAAAUAUAAUAAAUCAAAUUUAUAUUAAAUAAAAACAAUUCUUUUUUUUUCAAUAAGAAUAUUUUUGGAAAUCAGAAAGAUAAAAUAUUUUCGCAAACCAUUCUGUUUUCUUAAAGGGAUGAAGGCGGCGACAGGCGAGAUUUGGUUGUUUGCUCGACUCAAAGUGCGGCAGGGCUUCUGAAAGUACAAGUUACGCGGCACUUUUAUACGGAGGAGUGACUUUCCAUAAUUGCGAAUUGAGGCCUCUUUUUUAUAAUAUUUUCACAUUGCCCCUAUUAUCUUGGAUGGUGAGGAUUGGAUUAUGAUUAUAGAUAAGUAAAUUCGGACGGACCGUUUGAGACUUAACGAGAUAAUGAUAGAUUUUUAAAAAAAUUAAAAUUUGAUCAUAUUUUAUAAAGGUAAAUAGUUAUUUUUAUUUUUAAAAAUUUAAUAAAUAACUAUAUUUGAUCUCUUUUUAUUUCUUUCGCCAACCUCCAUCACUCAGUUAAACUUAUGAUAAAUUUUUAAAUAAUUUGCUAUCUCUCAACAUAAUUCAAUACUCAUAAUAUACCAUUAGUCGAGACCUACUGUGAUCUUCGAAUACCAGAUAAUUUAAUACACUAAAAAAAAAAUACCAUUAUCAUCAGUUCAAUCCUUUUACACACACUCUUUCAACUUCUGCCAACUCUAUAUCUCCAGCAAAAGAAGUAGUGAUGAUCUCCCCUUUGCAAUUUUUGACAACCAUGUCUAAAGCCCAACCAUCAUUCCUUCUGAAGUUGAGAUUGCUGCACGAGUGAAAAAGAAUAUUGAAAUUGAAUUAUUAAUUUGGAAGAAUUUCACAACACAAUUAAACAGUUAUUGAAUGUAUUUGAGUCAUUUGACCGUAUAUUUUUUUGUUAAAAAAAACCCAUAUCUAGGUUCAGUUACAAAAGCCAAAUCUCUCAAAUCAUGUGUCUAGAUUCAAGGACCACAAACAAGAGAUUCCAAGAACUUGUUAACACCCUUUUAGAAAACUUGAUUUUGGAUUUUCAUGCUUGGACAAUGGCUUCUUGGAUUCCUCUCCAGUGACUCCAAUUUUGUCAUACAAUUGAUUGAAAUUGAAUGGCUAAUGCUCGAUUGAUACUCUUAAGUCUUAUCGAGAUUUUGAGCCCGGCAUAGUUUAGGAGUUUUAUAAGUUUAAAAAAUGGGGUGGCUGAAAAAUAGGCUGAUGAAGAAUUUAAACAAAAAAAAAAAAAGUUCGAAUAUCACUCAAAUUUAAUUCUUUUUUAUUUAAAAAAACUGAUGAUUUUUAUUUAAAAGAAUAAUAUUAAGUCCCUCAAGUUUUUUAUUUUUAACUAUUUGUAUCUUUUCUUUAAAACUUAUUAUACUCAUAAGAUAUCAACAGUCAAUAUUCAAAAUAACUUUUUCUAAAUAUCAAAACAAUCAUCAUAAUCAUUAUUAUUAUUAUUUCGUGUAAUAUAGUUAAAGGGACAAAAAUCUAAGGGUGAAAUAAAAGUGGUAUUUAAUAGAAUUUAUAUAAUGACAAAAGCCAAGUGGACCCAAGUGAUAAAACUGUUUAAUUGAUGGACAGAAGAUCAAUUUUCAUUUGUGUUGCCGACACCACAGUUUGGUUUACGCUUCCCGACCCAUGAUAUAGGAGAAGUCUAUGUUACAGCUUCUGUAAGUAGCAGCAGCCAAUAGGGAACUUCCACGGGUGCUAGAGGAGAGAGAAAGAGGUCCCAAUGCAAGGUGAUGGAAAUGGGAAAGUUCGAAGCUGUUACUUGCAGCUUCUGCACCUUAGCCAUGUCCGGAUAUUCAGGACCAUGCACUUUUGUCAUCCCAGACAAUUUUUCAUAAUUAAAACAAAACAAGUGCUGCGUCCUGUGGCUGAUAUUUAGAGCAAAUGAAGUUUACCAAGUCCUCCCAUAAAAAUAUCAUAUCCCACCAUUUUCUCCAACCAUUUUAAAGGUUGAAAUUACAAGAGAAGUCGUAUCAUAUCUAUGUACUAUGUUUAUCACAAUUGUUUGGCAACCACCAAAUUCGCCGUAUAAAGUCAUUGAUUAAUCAGAAAAAUAUACCAUCGUCGAAAACUUCGCCAUUGUGGCCCCUGAUGUAUAAAACUGACCAUAGGAUUAGCAAAGGUUUGUCAGCUAGCGGAACUUACGUGUACGUCAUGCACACUUAAAUGUUAUCUAUAUACUGUGUAGGCAUUGCUCUGACGUAACCUCUUCAUUCAGAGUCCCCGAGUCAGCUGCAAGGGAAUGGCCAUGAAUAAUCUUUCAGCAGAAUCAACUGUUGCUGCAGCAAUUUCAGCCUUAGUGAUAUUCCUCUCAAUUUUCCUAUUGAUUUCAAGAAAUGGGCAAAAAAGGACACUCAAGAAGAAGCAAGCUCAACAAGCACCGGAAGCAGGGGGAGCAUGGCCUUUGAUAGGCCACCUACAUAUCUUACGAGGGUCAGAGCCAGCUCACAGAGUUUUGGGCAACAUGGCUGACAAAUAUGGACCGAUAUUCACUAUGAAAUUGGGAGUGAAGCAAGCUUUAGUGGUGAGCAACUGGGAAAUUGCCAAGGAGUGUUUUACCACAAACGACAAAGCUUUUGCAGGUCGCCCCAAAACAAUGGCCACGGAGCUUUUGGGGUACAACUUUUUGGUCAUAGGCUUCGCACCAUAUGGCAACUACUGGCGUCAGUCACGUAAGAUAGCCACAAUUGAGCUUCUGUCAAAUCGUCGCCUUGAGAAGCUCAAACAUGUACGUGAAUCCGAAGUGAAGGCUUCAAUCCAGAGGUUAUACAAGAAUUGCAUAAGUAGCAGCAGUUCACGUAAAGUAGUUUCGGUAGAGAUGAUCCAUUGGCUCGAGGGCACAGUACUUGACAUUAUUUUGAGAAUAAUUGCCGGAAAACGUUACACUUCACAAUCACAAGAGGUUAAUGAUUGGCAACAGCAAAUAACAAAAUUCACUGCCUUGUCUGGUCAGUUCGUGGUGUCCGAUGCGUUGCCCUUUCUGAGAUGGCUAGAUAUCGGCGGCUAUGAGAGAUUAAUGAGCAAGACAGCCAAAUAUUUUGACAUCAUUUUGCAAGAAUGGUUGGAUGAGCACAAGAUGAAAAGAGAUUCUGGUGAUGCUAAGGGCGACGAGGAUUUCAUGUAUGUGUUGUUGUCCUUGCUUGAUGAUAAUGCAGAGCAGCUUCCUGAUCGCGAUGCUGACGCUGUCAUUAAAGCAAUAUGCGUGGUAUAUUAUAUGCCCAUGAAAAGCUUUUGUGUUUGUGUUUGUAUUGUUAUAUGAAUGUCACAGAUUGCUUACUGCUUUUAAUUUGCAGACUCUAAUCGUAGCGGCUGCAGACACCUCAGUAGUUACGUUGACAUGGGCUAUUGCUUUACUUGUCAACAAUCGCGAUGUUCUGAAGAAGGCACAAGACGAAUUAGACAUUCAGGUUGGCACUGAAAGGCCAGUGAAUGAAUCGGACGCGAGAAAUUUGGUUUACUUGCAGGCCAUUAUCAAGGAAACGAUGCGUUUAUACCCCGCUGCACCACUUUUACUACCUCACGAGUGUAUAGAAGAAUGCAUCGUCAAUGGUUACCACGUCCCUGCAGGCACCCAACUGUUUGUUAACGCCUGGAAGAUUCAACGCGAUCCAUGUGUUUGGGAGGAGCCAUGUCAAUUUCAGCCAGAAAGAUUUCUUACUAGGCAUAAGGAUAUUGAUGUUGGGGGAC